rnacentral:rRNA from 1 species
UGAGGAAUAUUGGUCAAUGGUCGGGAGACUGAACCAGCCAAGUCGCGUGAAGGACGACGGUAUUAUGUAUUGUAAACUUCUUUUAUAAGGGAAUAAAGUUUGUCACGUGUGGCAAUUUGUAUGUACCUUAUGAAUAAGCAUCGGCUAACUCCGUGCCAGCAGCCGCGGUAAUACGGAGGAUGCGAGCGUUAUCCGGAUUUAUUGGGUUUAAAGGGUGCGUAGGUUGUUUUUUAAGUCAGCGGUGAAAUUUUGACGCUUAACGUCAAGAUUGCCGUUGAAACUGGGGAACUUGAGUGCAAACGAGGCAGGCGGAAUUCGUAGUGUAGCGGUGAAAUGCAUAGAUAUUACGAAGAACACCGAUAGCGCAGGCAGCUUGCCAGAUUGCUACUGACACUGAAACACGAAAGUGUGGGUAUCAAACAGGAUUAGAUACCCUGGUAGUCCACACAGUAAACGAUGACAUACUAACUGUUUGCGCAUCAUACAGUAAGCGGUACAGCGAAAGUCGUUAAGUAUUCCACCU